rnacentral:rRNA from 1 species
GACGGAGGGGGCUAGCGUUGUUCGGAAUUACUGGGCGUAAAGGGCUCGUAGGCGGCCAACUAAGUCGGACGUGAAAUCCCUCGGCUUAACCGGGGAACUGCGUCCGAUACUGGAUGGCUUGAGUUUGGGAGAGGGAUGCGGAAUUCCAGGUGUAGCGGUGAAAUGCGUAGAUAUCUGGAGGAACACCGGUGGCGAAGGCGGCGACCUGGGUCGAUACUGACGCUGAGGUGCGAAAGCGUGGGGAGCAAACAGG